CCUACGGGUGGCUGCAGUCGAGGAUCUUCGGCAAUGGGGGAAACCCUGACCGAGCGACGCCGCGUGCGGGAUGAAGGCCUUCGGGUUGUAAACCGCUGUCAGAGGGGAGGAAAUGCCGGGAAGUAAUUCAUAAUCGACCCGGUUUGACCUAUCCUCAGAGGAAGGACGGGCUAAGUUCGUGCCAGCAGCCGCGGUAAUACGAACCGUCCAAACGUUAUUCGGGCGCACUCGGCUCGAAGGGUGCGUAGGCAAAGCCCUCGGCUCAACCGAGGAAUUGCGCCCAAAGCUGCCGGGCUCGAGGGAGACAGAGGUGAGCGGAACUUAGGGUGGAGCGGUGAAAUGCGUUGAUAUCCUAAGGAACACCAGUAGCGUAAGCGGCUCACUGGGUCUCUUCUGACGCUGAGGCACGAAAGCUAGGGGAGCGAAGAGGAUUAGAUACCCGAGUAGUC
rnacentral:rRNA from 1 species